rnacentral:rRNA from 1 species
AGAUUGAACGCUGGCGGCAUGCCUUACACAUGCAAGUCGAACGGCAGCGCGGGGCAACCUGGCGGCGAGUGGCGAACGGGUGAGUAAUAUAUCGGAACGUACCCUGGAGUGGGGGAUAACGUAGCGAAAGUUACGCUAAUACCGCAUACGAUCUAAGGAUGAAAGUGGGGGAUUCGCAAGAACCUCAUGCUCCUGGAGCGGCCGAUAUCUGAUUAGCUAGUUGGUGGGGUAAAGGCCUACCAAGGCAUCGAUCAGUAGCUGGUCUGAGAGGGGCGUACCGAGACCGACGACUGGAACGUGAGACACGGUCCAGACUCCUACGGAGCAGCAGUGGGAAUUUGGACAAUGGCGAAAGCCUGAUCCAGCAAUGACCGCGUGAGUGAAGAAGGCCUUCGGUGUAAGCUCUUUGUCAGGAAGAACGGUAGAAGGUCUAAGUAUACCGUUUGCUUAAUGACGUACCUGAAGAAUAAGCACGGCUAACUACGUGCCAGCAGCCGUACG